rnacentral:lncRNA from 1 species
UAUAAUUUUAGGAACUAUAAAAAUGUGUGUAAUAUUGCUAUAUCCUGAGAGAUAUUAAUAUUCAUUUAUACCAACCCAAUAUUCAUUUUGUGCCCCUUGCAUCCGUCACUUCCAAAUCUCGAGAAGAUCCGAACCCACUAUUCAUCUUCCCUCCCAAAUCUUGAUCAAAUGAGGAGGCAAAAAACCUGUAGAAUAAGAAUGAAAAAUCUAAAGAUUGAAACGUAAAGAUGCUGACCUCCCAUGCAUCUUCUUCCUACCCACAUUUUUGUUCCUCAUAAAUCUUGAUGGUACG